rnacentral:rRNA from 1 species
GGUUGCGGACAGUGUCUGGUGGGUAGUUUGACUGGGGCGGUCUCCUCCUAAAGAGUAACGGAGGAGCACGAAGGUUGGCUAAUCCUGGUCGGACAUCAGGAGGUUAGUGCAAUGGCAUAAGCCAGCUUGACUGCGAGCGUGACGGCGCGAGCAGGUGCGAAAGCAGGUCAUAGUGAUCCGGUGGUUCUGAAUGGAAGGGCCAUCGCUCAACGGAUAAAAGGUACUCCGGGGAUAACAGGCUGAUACCGCCCAAGAGUUCAUAUCGACGGCGGUGUUUGGCACCUCGAUGUCGGCUCAUCACAUCCUGGGGCUGAAGUAGGUCCCAAGGGUAUGGCUGUUCGCCAUUUAAAGUGGUACGCGAGCUGGGUUUAGAACGUCGUGAGACAGUUCGGUCCCUAUCUGCCGUGGGCGCUGGAGAACUGAGGGGGGCUGCUCCUAGUACG